CAAGGCAGCCACGCCAUGGGCUGGGAGGAGCAUCACCACGCCAGCACUGCUAAUGCACGGAUGAGUUGUCCUUGUGCCUUUGACACCGUGUAGGAACCCCUGUAAUGACAAUGAACGGAGGGGUGGUGCCACUGCUGCAGGUGACAGAGCGGUAGGCUUUGAAGCUUCUUGUGUAUGAACUUGAACUUCCAACCAGGAUUGCAAAAACAGUAAGAAAAAAAACCUAAUGGUGGUGUUUUGUGCUAGAACAUACACAACUCCCAAAGAGUUUGCAGAUUGUACUGAAUCAGCACAAAAGUUACCAAAAAUAUUCUGAGUAUUUUGGAUGUGUAUCUACUGAAAGUAUGUUGUACUGUCACGGUUGCUCUUUCUCUAAAGCAUGGGAAAGUACAUAAAGGACAGUAUUGCUUCAUCUGCCUCAAUCACUGUGGCGUCUGACGUGAGCAGAAUGGGGCUUGGGGACACUGAGGAGUAAGAGGAAGGAAGGAAAACAGCUUCUUCAUUUCUUUCCAGAUCAGGGUGGUGGUGUUGUCUUGGGUGUUGCCCUUGAGGAGUGGCUGCGUUGGCAUCCCGAAGAACAACAGGCUCAGAUUGCUUGCCAGUUUUAGCAAUCAAUUACAGCUAAAUGCAAAGACAUCUGCAGAUCCAAUGUUCCUUUCAAAUAUUCAUCCUCCCAGCGGCUCUACAAGGUGCUGCUCUCCCUAGUUUACAUGGAAACAGAUGCUCAGAGGAGUGGAAAAGCUUUCCUUGUGAAACUUUUCACAAUUUCCAUUUUAAUGGCUGUCCAGGCUCUUACCAUCUUCAAAAACAAACAAGAAAACAGCAGUGUAAAGAAACAGCAACAGACAGGGCUGUGAUGGCUUCUCUGCCAACUGUCUCACCGCCCUCAAGCAAUUGCGAAGGAGCUGCUCCCUGUACCCAGUGGAAGAUGUCUGCACCGCCUGUGCCUGCUGUGGCUUCACCCAGGAGGCUUGGAGCAGCCCAGCCCUAGCCCGAGGUGUAUUUUCUGCCCAAGAGCUGAUACUGGAUGUCUCAUCACCAGUGUCUCAGCCCAGCAUUUUGUGCCGAUUCAGCUUUACAGGACUGUGCAGUGUAUUUCUUAAUCUGUUGUGUCAGUAGGCAUAAACUGGCUGCCCCAAAGCUGAAACAGAGGCUUUCUUCUUUUGCCUGGAUUAACUGUUUCAUGAUGAGUUUAACUUUAGUACAAAUAGAUAUUAUAAAUGCCUAGUAUUUGCAUCUACAUGGUACUCUGCCAGUCCCAAAGCGUGAUAGGAAUUGGUAUUUGAGGGGUACCAAUUCAUAUUUUUUUCUUACAUGAGGUGAACUACAGUGGUACUUACAAUAGCAGUGAGGGGAGGAGGAAGCACGAUGAUGAAGCUCUAUAGGAAGGACGCAAGACUCCCUUUUUGGAAAGCCCCUGCACUUUAGUUCUUCAAUUAAUCCACUAAUUUUUAUCACCAAGUCAGCCUACACCUUCAUUUUAUUAAUACAGACUAAGAGAAGCUUCACACUGUAAGAAUAUUAUGUUUAGAGAUGCCAACAUCUGCAGAGCUACAGCGAGGCUUAAAUCAAACUUUUAGUGGCAAGAGUGUAUGGCAGCAGCACUGUAAUUAUUUGGCAUUUGUCUGCAGUGCCUCCCUGCCUUCAAAACACUUUUCACAGGCUGUCAACAAGUCUUUGUGUUUGUGUUUGGCUUGGCAGUGACUCUCAAAACUGGGCGAGUAAGUGAGGAGGAGCCCGUGCACAAGCCCAGUCGUAUGCAGCUUUGCUCAGUCUUCUGUGAUCUCUCAUCUGAUAACCUUCAAAGCCCUGCCUUUCCCUGCAUUUCACUCACUGUUUGUACAUUAUCACUACUGACUUAAAAGAAAGGAUCUCUUCAGAUUACAUUAGCUGUACUACUGUUUCUAAUAGCAGAACAGCUCCUAUAUUUACAACAGCAGAACACUGGUCUUGGGCAAAUAGAUUAUUCACUUAAAUAAACAAAUCAGAUCUCAGCUUGACUUUAAACUCUCAGGUUUGUCAUUUGUGAAUAUAUUCAUCCACUAAAAAAUGAAAUAACUAAAAUGUUGUAUCUAUACUUUUGAAAUAAAGCUAUUUAAUUUCAAGAUUUGAUUAUUUUAAAAUCUGAAAAAAAAAAAAAAAAAAAAAAAAAAAAAAAAAA